rnacentral:lncRNA from 1 species
AAAGUGAAAAUAGGCUGCCAGCAAAUAAGCACUGGGCCUAUCCUUCCUUGGGCUUAGCAAUUAAACAUAACUAGAAACAAAAGUGAAAAUAUGCGCGGGCCACCCCUCCCUUAGGCCUCACAUUAAAUUUGGGCUGGAGCAAGGGGAAAGGGGUUGGUCUUUCUAAACUUGGGCCUUAUUUCUAUUUUAUUCUUACCCUACUUCUCAACAUGAAUCAAGAAAGAAUUGGGCUUUUAAAAAAUAAAAAUGUUGGGCAUUUGUGAAGUUCAAACUAGUUAGAAAUAUUUUUGGGUUGAGAAAUAUAUGACGAUAUGUGAUAUCACAAACAAAGCUUUGUUAUUUUGACAACUUGGCUACUAGCAAGACACCUACUUUGGCAACUCUCCUCGCUCGAAGACUUAGGGGAUUCUUACUAUAUGCUACUACACCUCGGUACUCAGAAGUUUCGUGAUUACUUAGUGACUUGGAUUUGUCAAGUCCCCAACAAAGAAGCUUUCCUCACUCGGGAACUUAAGGCAGCACUGUUUGUACCAUACUUGACCAAUCCCGAAACUACCGAGCACCGGUCAACGUCAUACCUUCAUGUACCCACUGAGGGGUUCAUGUUGAGGCAUCCCUGCCGAAGCAUAAGAGUUUCCCUCCAACCAGAAGGCCAAUCACAUCGCAACACAUGUCAACGUAAGAAUAAAGCUCAUAGAGUCCCACAUCGACUGUGAACAAAAGCUAAAGACUCUCCUCAACUAUAAAAGAAGACCAUUCUCCUACAAUUAAUCCCUAAUGUCAUUAUUGUACUUAAACCAGUCAUUAAGAAUCCAUUGAUGAUAAUUAUAAACCCUUCACUAUUAAUGAGAACUUCUCUACUUCGUGAACAUAUUUAGACUUAGGAGGAACCACGUACAUCUUGUAUUUGCUUUCCUAUCUCUAUCUAGUUGCAUAUUAUCCACACCAAGUGACCGAAGCAAUUGGGCGAAGGUCACAAACUUGACACUUUACAUUAUUCUAAAGUCUCACUGAUUUUGUACAUCAAUAAUCUUCGAAUGAAAAACAUAAAAAGAGCUGUUUAUAUUAUAAAAGUAAAAUUGUGACUGACAUUGUAGUAACUUACUAAUUAGUUAGCUACUGAAUGCCAUUGCUUGACAAGAUCCAUGCAUUAGGUUGUAGAUAAAAUAAAGAGUGGUGCUAUCUACACCUCUUUUAUUUUUCUGCCAUCGAAU